rnacentral:rRNA from 1 species
UGGGGAAUAUUGGACAGUGGGCGCAAGCCUGAUCCAGCAAUACCGCGUGUGUGAAGAAGGCCUGCGGGUUGUAAAGCACUUUCAAUUGUGAAGAAAAGCGGGAGGCUAAUACCCUUCUGUCUUGACGUUAACUUUAGAAGAAGCACCGGCUAACUCUGUGCCAGCAGCCGCGGUAAUACAGAGGGCGCGAGCGUUAAUCGGAAUUACUGGGCGUAAAGCGUGCGUAGGCGGUUUAGUAAGUCAGAUGUGAAAGCCCUGGGCUUAACCUGGGAACUGCAUUUGAAACUGCUGAACUAGAGUGUGGUAGAGGGAAGUGGAAUUCCGGGUGUAGCGGUGAAAUGCGUAGAUAUCCGGAGGAACACCAGUGGCGAAGGCGACUUCCUGGACCAACACUGACGCUGAGGUACGAAAGCGUGGGUAGCAAACAGGAUUAGAUACCCUGGUAGUCCACGCCGUAAACGAUGUCAACUAGUUGUUGGGAGCAUCUUGGCUCUUAGUAACGUAGCUAACGCGAUAAGUUGACCGCCUGGGGAGUACGGCCGCAAGGUUA